AGUGAACGCUGGCGGUAGGCCUAACACAUGCAAGUCGAACGGCAGCACAGUAAGAGCUUGCUCUUACGGGUGGCGAGUGGCGGACGGGUGAGGAAUACAUCGGAAUCUACUUUUUCGUGGGGGAUAACGUAGGGAAACUUACGCUAAUACCGCAUACGCCCUACGGGUGAAAGCAGGGGAUCUUCUGACCUUGCGCGAUUGAAUGAGCCGAUGUCGGAUUAGCUAGUUGGCGGGGUAAAGGCCCACCAAGGCGACGAUCCGUAGCUGGUCUGAGAGGAUGAUCAGCCACACUGGAACUGAGACACGGUCCAGACUCCUACGGGAGGCAGCAGUGGGGAAUAUUGGACAAAGGGCGCAAGCCUGAUCCAGCCAUACCGCGUGGGUGAAGAAGGCCUUCGGGUUGUAAAGCCCUUUUGUUGGGAAAGAAAAGCAGCAGGUUAAUACCCCGCUGUUCUGACGGUACCCAAAGAAUAAGCACCGGCUAACUUCGUG
rnacentral:rRNA from 1 species